rnacentral:tRNA from 1 species
GCCUAGUGGGCUUAGUCAGGACAGCAUGCGACUCUUGAUCUCAGGAUUGUGAGUUCAAGCCCCACAUUAGAUA